AGGUGUGAUCAUAACAGCACUAAUGCACCAGAUCCCAACAAAACUCAGCAGUUAAGUGUGCUUGGGCGAGAGUAGUACUAGGAUGGGUGACAUCCUAGGAAGUCCUCGUGUUGCCCCCU
rnacentral:rRNA from 1 species